GUAUUGUUGAAGAGUCCCAUAAUAGGACGAAACGGCCGUCCAAUGC
rnacentral:hammerhead_ribozyme from 1 species